GGAAAUCCGAAGUGAAACCCAUCAAGCAAUAUGGCGGAAGAAAGUUUGGACCUUGUGAAUGACACCAAAAACUAUAAUUUUGUCCUAUUCAUCUGCUAUGUAAAUGUUAUUCAUUAUAACGCUAGAGAAUAGAUGGCGACUGGAGAAACCGGCCAUGUAUCAGCAAUAGCCAUUGAAUCUGAAGAGGUGAAGAACAGAGUGCCAGUGGCCGUACCUUCAGUUGGGUUAAGGGUGCAGGUCCAGCAAGGCAAUGGUACAACAAGUAAAACAAUGACAGUUGCAGGCACUGACGUAGGUGCAGAUGAUGCUACCAAACAACCUGACAACAACAACACACCACUUAAUGAUAAUCCCACAGAUGGAAGUCCAGUGAACACACUUCCACCUGUAGUAGCAAUUGCAACUUCCCGUCGUAAUGAUCAUUUAUACCCAGAUCUUGAUAUCCCGAUCCUAAGAUCAAAUGGAAAUCAGAAUCUAGAUUCCGGAAAUGAAAAGAUAAAAGUAAUCUGCAAUGGAGAAGUAGACUCCCUGGCCGAGCAAGCCAUGGGGAACAGUAUUGAAACAGGAUGUGCACUGGGAAAUUCCGAUGAUAUUAAAAUGCCAAAUGGAUUCAUUGUGGGUAAUGGUGGAAUGGAAGAUCAGGGAUCUAAAGGAUGCCAAGCAGUUAGGCCUAAAACUAUUUCAUGGAGUCGAUUGGUCAAACAGAGAAAAGACAAAAAAGAAAGGAACAAAAAACAAAAUAACGUUCGAAGUCAAAGCCGCGGGGAGGCAUAUUUAUACCCAGAAAUGUAUUCUAGCUCUGAAGAAGAUCUGGAUGAUAUUGUUAUUAUGCCAGCAGAAGUAUCAAAGAAAAGUUCCAAAUCACAGAUAGCAAAGUCGUCAAGCAAUGGAGGGACUGACUGGAAUUUCCAUCUUGUCCACGAACCGACACAGGAAUUAAAAAGACCAAUGUUUUCUGAUAGUGAUGCAAGAUAUAAUGCUGAUACUACAACAAAAACUGAAAGUGUUGUCAAUGGAACUGGAUGUGAAAGUACUGACAGCAAUGGGUCAAAAUCCUCUUCCACAAGAAGUGGGUUGUGCCCUCCGUUUGAUCCAGUAAUGAUGGUUAGGAGUGAUUGUAUUCUAGCCCCGCUUGCAGUGCCAGAGGACAGUGGAGGAUCUUCCUUGUCCAGUGGAUCUGACUCAAAUUUUAAUCCUAAUGAUUUUCACUGUGAUAAUUUUGACUCUUCUUUAUAUGAUAAUGAUAUGUUCAGAUAUUCCCAGUCCCAAACUAGUCAAGGUCAGCUUGCUCCACAAAUUCUAGGAAUGAAUAAUAUUUCUUGUGAAGAAAACAUGCCAAAACCUGAAUCCGAAAUGCAGAGAUCACCUAUUAUGCCAUUCUUACCAAAUGCACAAAUUCAACAGCUUCCACGCCCUGCUAGUAAUGAUAGCUUAGAUGAGAUAGGUGAUUACAUUGACACAGACUUUCCUUCUCAAGCCAGCCGGCUUCUAUUUGCCUGUAGUUCAACAAGUUCCUCUUCUACCUCAUCUGAUGAGGAUGAGGGGUACGGGGUAAAUGCAGAACCUCGGAUCCCAGACUUUUCAGAACGAGAGGAAGAUAGAAAUGAAAUGCCUGUCCUCCCACAGGAGCCUUUACCAUUUCAUGAAGGGAAAGCAAAUGGACACAGGGAAGAUGAAAGUGAAAGUAGAGUUCUAUUUUUAGAUGAUUCUCCAAGUGAUUUGAAGCUCUGUGAUAGAUUGUCUAAUCAUGUCUGUUCAAAAGACAAUGAACAUGACAAUACAACCAGACCAACCAAGCCAUUGUCAAGAUUGGGCAGUUGUACUGGUAAAAGUGAAAGUGGAAGUGAGGUCGGGGGUCAAAUGGGUUCCGAUUCAUCUGUUGUAUAUUCCCCAGAGGCAGAUUUUCUAGAAUUUGUUGACUCGGAUCUUCCAGGAUCUGCAGGACUUAACCAGUCUUUCUCCUUUGUCAGAGACGCCGAGAUCCUGACCCCGUUUUUGUCUGAUGAACGUUGCUAUCCCAACAACUGUGACGGUGUUCAUCAGGCAUCCUUAGCUAACAGCUGCGAGGACAUGCUAGAAGAGGGUGCUGCCUCUCUCACCAAUAAUCUCAACUACGACAGAUGCUGUACUGGCUUCGAUGACUUUGACAAUAAUAUGGAAAGAUAUGAUCCCCACCUUCACGCUGAUAAUGAAAACUUUCACACAUAUUGCAAUCCAGAUUUAUGCAAGCAGGAAAAGGUACCCGGUGCAAAUUUUCAAAACUCUGCCAGUAAUCGCAGAGAAAAGAUUUUCUAUAAAGCUGCCCUGGAUAGGGAAAACAGGUUAUCGCCGGGAUCUUCGGAUGAGGAGGAAAAUGUCUCCCAGAGUUUUAUGAGGGAUGUGGCUUCCAAUCUGGAGGGAGAGGAGGAUUGUGCACCCCAAAACAGCAACACUGAGUGUAUGUACAUGGGGGACUUGGAGAAUCUCACUCAUGCCCUACAGAAUGCUGUCAUCAUGCAAUUACCGCCCAAACUGGAAGAAUCCUCAGGGGAGAGUUCUGAUGAGCCAAUCUAUGAAGAGAUUGAAUGUUUGGAGCCGCUGUUGACCGGUGAUAACAGUCUGCAUGUGGUCAAGGAGGAAGUCGUCAAAUCUGCCGACAAUGUGGCCCAGGUUAUACCGAAAUAUGAACAGCGGCGUCGCCGUGGUAACAAGGCUCACUGUCAUGUGGAAAAGGUGCUGAUCUGGAACGAGUAUGAGGCAUAUGUCCUGCAAGUGAAACAGAUCGGCACAUCUGCGUGUGGUCCCACAGCAGUUCUCAAUGUAAUGAAAGCAUUUGAUUACCAAGUGGACAAGGAUGAGAUCUGUAAACAGAUUCUUGCCAACUUGAGGAUGGAAGGGGCGCCAAUACCAUACUACCUCUUUUCUAGGUCGGCCGCAGGUACAACAGCUGAGAAUCUAUUGGAGGGAGUGGAAAAGUUAACAAAGGGAGCUAUCCGUGGUCGGUUCUUCAAUUUCUAUCCACCACGCAAAGUGGAGCUCCUCAAAUGGCUGGGGCAUUGGAUGAAAAAAGGUGCUGUUCCAAUCGCCACUCUGAACCUGCAGCGCGGUGUGAAGCCUGGAUGGACAAUUCCUGAUGCCUGGCACCAUCAAAUGGUGUACGGAGUGAGCUCUAAAGGGGUAUAUUUGACAAAUCCACUAGAAAUCGUGUCAGCAGAGACCGUUAUGGACCAGUUGACUAGUGACUCAGUUCUGUUGGUCAGACGACAAGAUGUGGUCAAUAGAUUUAGGGACUGGGCUCCCCUCAACGACUUCUUGAAGCAGAGAGAUACACGCUGGCAAACAUUUAAUGUACUUGGUCAAGUAGUAAAUGUGUUACGUGAAGCAUGUACAGCGCUAUCACACCAAAUCCCACGGCACCGCGCCCAGCUCACCUCACACAUAACAAUUCCCGCAGCCUACAAGGCCGGUGUCACGCUGUUUGUACGUCAAAAUACACAGGUAGAGGAGGAACUCUUUAGUGUACAGGAACUGGAAUUGAGAGACGGAUCAGAUGCAGAGACCAAAAACUUAAACGGAUUAAGCAAAUGUGACCUCGAAUCAGAUUUGGACAGUUCUAGUUUGUCCUAGUACAAAUACCACUGUAAUUUAUUACUUGUAUUUUCUAUUUAAAAUUAUCUUAUUACAACUUGCUAUUAAUUAAAACUUGGCUGCUUACAUCAUGGUAUUGAGAUUAUGAAAUAACCGCAGAAACCGGCUGGUUGGAUAGUUAUAUAACAGUGCUGUAAAACUUUUUAAAGAAUUACAUUUUAGUAAUGAGCUCUUCCUUUUCUAUAUGCAGAUUUGUUCUGUGUUUUUAAAGUGUAAUAUUAUGAAUUAUGAAGAUGCUUUUAAUGAAACUGGACGGCUGUUAAUGUAAGUGUUGCUAUUUGUAUGUUUGUACUUGUGUGACCAUGAAUGUGUGUUAGGAAGGGGACCCCAGGUAUAUGUCUGUGGAGUACCCAGUGUGUGUUAGGUAGGGAAGACGUUCAGACUGCCAGGUAUAUGUUCUGUGGAGUACCCAGUGUGUGUUAGGUAGGGAAGACGUUCAGACCCCCAGGUAUAUGUUCUGUGGAGUACUGUACCCAGUGUGUUAGGUAGGGAAGACGUUCAGACCCCCAGGUAUAUGUUCUGUGGAGUACCCAGUGUGUGUUAGGUAGGGAAGACGUUCAGACCGCCAGGUAUAUGUUCUGUGGAGUACCCAGUGUGUGUUAGGUAGGGAAGACGUUCAGACCCCCAGGUAUAUGUUCUGUGGAGUACCCAGUGUGUGUUAGGAAGGGAAGACGUUCAGACCGCCAGGUAUAUGUCUGUGGAGUACCCAGUGUGUUAGGUAGGGAAGACGUUCAGACCCCCAGGUAUAUGUUCUGUGGAGUACCCAGUGUGUUAGGUAGGGAAGACGUUCAGACCCCGAGAUAUAUGUUCUGUGGAGUACCCAGUGUGUGUUAGGUAGGGAAGACGUUCAGACCGCCAGGUAUAUGUUCUGUGGAGUACCCAGUGUGUGUUAGGUAGGGAAGACGUUCAGACCGCCAGGUAUAUGUUCUGUGUAGUACCCAGUGUGUGUUAGGUAGGGAAGACGUUCAGACCCCCAGGUAUAUGUUCUGUGGAGUACCCAGUGUGUUAGGUAGGGAAGACGUUCAGACCGCCAGGUAUAUGUCUGUGGAGUACCCAGUGUGUUAGGUAGGGAAGACAUUCAGACCCCGAGGUAUAUGUUCUGUGGAGUACCCAGUGUGUGUUAGGUAGGGAAGACGUUCAGACCCCGAGGUAUAUGUUCUGUGGAGUACCCAGUGUGUGUUAGGUAGGGAAGACGUUCAGACCCCGAGGUAUAUGUUCUGUGGAGUACCCAGUGUGUUAGGUAGGGAAGACGUUCAGACCGCCAGGUAUAUGUCUGUGGAGUACCCAGUGUGUUAGGUAGGGAAGACAUUCAGACCCCGAGGUAUAUGUUCUGUGGAGUACCCAGUGUGUGUUAGGAAGGGAAGACGUUCAGACCCCGAGGUAUAUGUUCAUCUUCAGUUUAACAGCUGGAAAAUGAUUCCCAAGUAUGUGUUCAUUGCAGUCUUAAAAGCAUUUAAUCCAAAUCUACAAUUUUGCCCAUUAACUAUAGAAAUAUUUUACAAAUUUAUUGAAUUUGUACAUUUGAAGGUUCGUAUUUCAUAUGAAAUAUUACCAACAUUUUUUAAUUCAUUGCUGAUGGAUAUAGGCCAUCAAUAUAUAUAUGUAACUUAACUUUAUUCCUACCAGCUCUCACAGUGAAUAUUGCCAUGUAUCUUACCACCCGGUAUGAUGGUCAACAUUUCCUGGUUGUUCAGUGUACAUAGAUAUAAGUCAUUCAUCCUGUAUGUUACAAUAAAAAGGCAAAACAGUUACAGAAAAUUAGUGCUUGAAUUUAUCGUGCUGAAUGUUCAUUGAACAUUUAUUUUUAUUAUUCAGUUCCUUGAUGGUGCAAGGUGAGAAUAUUAUAAUCAUGACAAAAUAAAAUAGUGAACAGCUUCAAA